UGGUCAUUAGCUCAAUUGGCAGAGCGGCGGUCUCCAAAGCCGUUGGUUGCAGGUUCGAAUCCUGCAUGAUCAG
rnacentral:tRNA from 3 species